GACGAACGCUGGCGGCGUGCUUAACACAUGCAAGUCGAACGGAAAGGCCCUGCUUUUGUGGGGUGCUCGAGUGGCGAACGGGUGAGUAACACGUGAGUAACCUGCCCUUGACUUUGGGAUAACUUCAGGAAACUGGGGCUAAUACCGGAUAGGAGCUCCUGCUGCAUGGUGGGGGUUGGAAAGUUUCGGCGGUUGGGGCUGGACUCGCGGCUUAUCAGCUUGUUGGUGGGGUAGUGGCUGACCAAGGCUUUGACGGGUAGCCGGCCUGAGAGGGUGACCGGCCACAUGGGGACUGAGAUACGGCCCAGACGCCUACGGGAGGCAGCGGUGGGGAGUAUGACACAAUGGGCGGACGUCUGAUGCAGCGACGCCGCGUGCGGGAUGACGGCCUUCGGGGUGUAAACCGCUGUCGCCUGUGACGAAGCGUGAGUGACGGUAAUGGGUAAAGAAGCACCGGCUAACUACGUG
rnacentral:rRNA from 1 species